CUUAAAUCAACAAAGCAGACAAACACUCUACUAUCCUUAUGUGAACAAUAUUUAUCAAUAAAUUUAAUAUAAACAUAUGGUCAGAUGUUCUAGCCUUUUUUGUGAAACCAAUCUGAGAGUCAUCUAUUAGAUUAUGUUUUAUUAAAAAAUUAUCCAAUAUAGAGUUUAAUAUGCAAUUGAAUAAUUUACCAACACAGCUGGUGAUUGUCAGGCCUCUAUAGUUACUUGGUUCAUCUUUAUCGCCACCUUUAUAUAGCGUUUUUAUAUAUCCUUCCGUCCAUGAUUUAGGAUAUAAACCAUAUAAUAAACUGGUAUUAAACAAUUUAAUUAAACAUUUUGUUAAGAAAAUUUGGCCACUUUUGAACAUGUUGAUGCUAAUAUGAUCUAAUCCAGGAGCUUUAUCCCUUUUUAAUCUACCAAUAGUAGAAUAUAUUUCUGAGUCCUUUAUUGGAAAAUUUAGAUCAUUGAAACAUUUAUUUUUUUCAGCAUCUUCUAGCUUUUUGUCAAGUUCUUUUAAACGAUCUGUAAAUUCUAAACUGAAAGAGUUCAAGUCCUGAAA
rnacentral:lncRNA from 1 species